rnacentral:rRNA from 1 species
GACGAACGCUGGCGGCGUGCUUAACACAUGCAAGUCGAACGGAAAGGCCCUGCUUUUGUGGGGUGCUCGAGUGGCGAACGGGUGAGUAACACGUGAGUAACCUGCCCUUGACUUUGGGAUAACUUCAGGAAACUGGGGCUAAUACCGGAUAGGAGCUCCUGCUGCAUGGUGGGGGUUGGAAAGUUUCGGCGGUUGGGGAUGGACUCGCGGCUUAUCAGCUUGUUGGUGGGGUAGUGGCUUACCAAGGCUUUGACGGGUAGCCGGCCUGAGAGGGUGACCGGCCACAUUGGGACAGAGAUACGGCCCAGACUCCUACGGGAGGCAGCAGUGGGGAAUAUUGCACGAUGGGCGGAAGCCUGAUGCAGCAACGCCGCGUGCGGGAUGACGGCCUUCGGGUUGUAAACCGCUUUCGCCUGUGACGAAGCGUGAGUGACGGUAAUGGGUAAAGAAGCACCGGCUAACUACGUG